GAUGAACGCUGGCGGCGUGCCUAAUACAUGCAAGUCGAGCGAACAGACGAGGAGCUUGCUCCUCUGACGUUAGCGGCGGACGGGUGAGUAACACGUGGAUAACCUACCUAUAAGACUGGGAUAACUUCGGGAAACCGGAGCUAAUACCGGAUAAUAUAUUGAACCGCAUGGUUCAAUAGUGAAAGACGGUUUUGCUGUCACUUAUAGAUGGAUCCGCGCCGCAUUAGCUAGUUGGUAAGGUAACGGCUUACCAAGGCAACGAUGCGUAGCCGACCUGAGAGGGUGAUCGGCCACACUGGAACUGAGACACGGUCCAGACUCCUACGGGAGGCGGCAGUAGGGAAUCUUCCGCAAUGGGCGAAAGCUUGACGGAGCAACGCCGCGUGAGUGAUGAAGGUCUUCGGAUCGUAAAACUCUGUUAUUAGGGAAGAACAAAUGUGUAAGUAACUAUGCACGUCUUGACGGUACCUAAUCAGAAAGCCACGGCUAACUACGUG
rnacentral:rRNA from 1 species